ACCCCCCACCUUUCUAUAUGGCGAUUCCUGGUAGGUGCCAACAAGGGCUGGAUUUCUUUGCGGGACUCUUGCCAUACUUCCCUAAAAAUCUAGAGUGGUUCAAAAUGUACAGGUGACCAGACUGAGGCCCAGGCUCAAAAGCAGCCACUCGUGGAAAGAAACCAGCGUCUUCUUGAUGAAGUGUGACUUCAUCCAUGACGAAAGCUCAGCUCCAUGCAAAAGGGACUACACUGUCCAAGGCAUUUUCUCAGGAACUUGGAGAAGAUAAAGAUACGCAGCCACCCUCCCUCGCCUUAACAAGGACAGUCUAGCAGGCUUUGCCCCCCCUCAGCUGGAUUCUCAAAUGCCUGAAGGACCCAGGGACUUCUCCCUUAUCUACAGCCGUCCCCUAAUGAGCGGGUUUGCUCAUCUGCAUGAGUCCAUAUUAGGACACGGGCCCUGCUUCUACUGACUUCCUGUCAUCACCAAGCACCGACGGGCAUGAGGGAAAUACGGGGCUCGGUGAGGAAUGACCCACUUCAGGGCGGCAGCUUGCACCUCACAAAGGAGAGGGCUCCAAAACAGAGCAGUCACUUAUUUGCACGUGGAAAGACUUCUUCCCCCUUAGAAACAAUAUUCAUGAUGUCAGGUCCCUUUAUGGUCUCAUAAUCCAUGUAACCCAAGUGUCAACACUAAAUGCCAGUGACCUGAGUCUUGGGGCUGGGAUGAGACUGGCUGGCUGGCUUCUGAAGUGAGGCAGCCCCGGGUGCAGGCAAAGGGAAGUGCUUCUCUCUUACUCUGCGCUUCCAGGUGCUGUCAACACAUCGACUCAUGUAAUCUUCACGACAGCCUGCUCAGUAAGGGCUAACAUCACUCACACUUUACAGAUGAGGACACCAAGGCACAGGGAGGGUUAGUAAGCUGCCCAAGGCAAUACAGCCAGUAAGAGGGGGAGCCAGGAUCCCAGCUCAGGAGCCUGGGCCCCUAAUGGCAGCUGGUGCUUUUCAGAGUCCAAACCUUAAACUCCUUCAAGGCCUUUUUUGGCUAAGGCACCAUUGUGUGAAUUCACCCAAGUGUUGCUGGGUUUAUAAGAAAAUCAGACGGGCUGGUUAAGACUAACUUUACCAAUCAAUGACCGGGCAGAUAAGAAACAUUUUUUCUAGGGAGAAUUUCUUUUUAUAGUUGAGAGACAAAACUAUAAUGGAAUUUUAUCCAGAACACACUUUUACUAACUUGAGAAUGGCAGCUAGGGGCAUGAAAAUGCUUAUCUGAAUUUAAUAAACUAAAUUGUAUCUAAGAGGCCACCAGCUGUGUGCAUGUCAAUGCUACACUGCAGGUCCCAGACAGGUGUGGGCAAAAGCACUGAGAGGUCAGGAACCCCGAUGCACGGACAGUUCCGGUCUUUCUUCGGGAACAAUACAAAUCAUCCCAUGUUCCCCUAACCACGGAACCCUGGCCAAGUGAUUUCCCCUUUCCUGAUCGGGAUUCCCACAACUGUAAGAUGCAAAGGGACAGGCUAAGUCCAAAACCUACAUGGAGAGGUCAUAGGGGGCUUUAAAGAGAAGCCAGCAAUCUGCCUCUGAGAAAGUGGGCCAGGCUGCACACGUCUGAGGAAGCUGGGGGCCACCGUGGAACAAAUAACAGGAAACUGAAAGCCUCCAUCCAGGCAAAGAGCUGGGACCAGGAAGGACAAGGUGCUACAGGAGUAUGAACAGCAGGGGGCGCCGGUUUGGAAGAGCGUGAUGUUUCCGCUGAGCUCGGAAAGAAGAGCACUUAGCUGAGCAAGGAGGGGUAUCUGUCAGAUCUUCAGGGAAAUGAAAUAUAAAGAGAUGAUGUACAGAGUGGCAGAUUCUGGGGUCAAGAAAUUGAAACAGUGACACUGGUGUAUAAUCUCACUGAUCUACGAAUGUUCUUUAGAAACCCAACCUGCCAGUAAGUCCAGGUAAAUGGCUAUCAUCACCACCCUCCUAGGUUCAAAUUACUGGCAACUCAGGAGGAACAUAUCUUGCCCAAAGAUAGGAGUCUUGGGCCAUGACACACAUCCCUGGGCAUGCGUGCCCUGGCACGCCUUGACGCCACCUUGGAGAGAUGCACCUCCACAUGGAGCCCUUGUGCCAAAGUGCCUGAGGGAGGGAAGCGAUGCAGAGAGGAAGAGGCAGGGGAGAGAGAGAGCCAGCCCUCCCUCCAGCAUCAGCAAUCUCAACACGUCCUCUACCUUUUUCAAAAUGCUCAUCUACACUGUUCCCCCUGACUCAGACUCCCCCUAUUUCUGCUUAUCACAUUUCUGUAUGUGCUUCUAGGUUCAAAGAAUAUCACCUCUUCCAUGUUAAUUGAACAGCAUGUUAAUUAACAGCAUUCAGGUGGUUAAUUGUCCUAGUUUUUCUGUCAACCUGCAGAAUUAUCAAGUGCUGCAGGGAAGCAACCACCCUUUCCCCGCAAAGUGGGGAGGUUUCAAAGCUCAGAAAUAUUCCAUCAUGUCCUCCUCCUACAGAAUCCGAGGGUGCCGAAAGCUAACCUCAGCUGCAGAGGUCAAGCUAUUCUGGAGGCAGGGAUGUUGUUAAAUCAACAGAAUGAAUUAGUACUUCUAGAACCAAACUUCAACUUCAUGCUCAACUGCCAUCUUGCAAAGUGGGCGCCCACAUCAGAACUUCAUAUUUCUACUCUGUCAUCUUAGCUGUCCUUCCCUUCAUUUCCCACCUCCCACGACACGCCCCAAAAAAGAAAACAGCAAUUACUUCUCUAAAUUUAGUUAGACUGGCCGAAGAUGCUCUAGAUCCCAUUGUCAUCGUGCCACGAGAACCUGCUCUACAAAGGAACACAUAAUAGAUGCAACUUAUCAUCUCCGCUCACCCGGUUUUCAGCUUUUGUCCUGACAUAUAUAUUCAAAAUUAUCUAGAAUAAAAAGUUAGGGUGGCAGUCUAGCUUUUGGCCAAAUCCUUGGACCACCCCAGACACACUUUUUUUCUCCAGUGCUAUGCAGUUCUCCCGGAGAAGGCUGUACUUUGCAGAAAGCCAGGGAGGCCACAGACAGCCACCUUUCAGCCAGCACACCAAACAGCCCACCAUUGUGCCUUAUUUGCAAAAGCCUUAAUGUCAGGCUUGACCAUAAAUUCCUGGAGCAAUUUCCACGAAGAGCCUAUUCUGGCUUCCUCUUAGCAGAAAACCCAUCUUGGCAGCGACCCCAUGUCAACAGUGCCUGGUAUCUUGGCGACCAGCAGGGGACUGAGUGAGCUCAGACCCACUUGUGGGCUCAUGGGAACAGUCUGAGCAGCCCUGUCCUGUGACGGUGACACAGAGUUGAUCUCCACGUCCUCUCUCCUCCCUGUGAACGCCUCAAGCCCAUUCAUUCUGAGAGGGCUGAGAACAUUCCCGAGCUGUCCUCCAUGUGCAGUUUUCCUAGGGGAUGAGGAACCCUCGAGGCCCUCCUGCUUUGUUUUUCUUCCCAGGAUUGCUGACUCCACCUGCUGCAGCUUCUGUUCAACUGUGUGUGUGCAAAUCGUCUGGCACCCCCGACUUGAGAAGAGGGGUUUUGUCUUGUUCACUAACGUGCCCCAACCAUGGGGAAGGGCACCUGGCACCCAGCAGGUACUUACAGGUGUCGCGUGAAUAGGUGAGCGCCCCCCAGUGGGAAGGUGGACUGCUUGGAUGCGUGUGCACUGGGAUAUCAGCUCACGGCUGCCAUUUUGGAGAAAUGACUGGGGCACAAAAACUGUCUCACGGAAAUCUACCAGAAGAAUGGGGGAUGGCGCCAUUCUAGUAAUUUAGCCAGUGUCCUCUGGUUAGUUCUGAUGGUGUCUGUAGGGAUUAACCUUUCAGAUUUGGUCUUCUUCACAAAUCCCACAGGUUUUAUUCUAAACGUGUAUGACCACGACUUGUGCCAACUUCCGGGUUCAAAGACACAAGCUCUGGGGACUGGAUGUGGCUUUAAGAGGGGGCUCUAUUGACAGCCCUUGGGGCUGGCUGGGUGCUAGUCCUCAUUCAGACCCUGGGCCUAGCUCUGACCUCCUGCCACCAGCCUCACUGGCCUAGGACCCUGCUGCUUAUGCUGUGGUCCCUGAACCUUGUUCUCCAGGCUCUAGGCUGAGGUUCUGACCUCAGGCUCUGCCGGCUUCCCUGGACUUCUCUCCUCUUCUCUGUAGGCCUGGGGCACCUGUUUGUCCUUGCGGCUCUAGGGGACAUCCUGGACCGGCUUCCGUCUGGCCCACAUGGCCUCGGGGACUGUCUUCUCAAAAUCCACACUGCCACAAACCCUCCGUCUGGGACCAUCUCAGCAAUGCUUGAGUUAGGGAGAGUAGCAUGAUCCCAUUCUGGCCAAGGAGUUUGCUAGAGGGCUUCUGGCAAAGCUUUUCUUGCUCCUAAAAAGAGACUCUAGAAGAGAUGCCUGUUUCUUCCUCUGGAUAGCAUGUGUCUGGAUGUGAAGGCUGGACCUACUCUGGCCAACGCACCGCCCACCUGUGGGGGAUGCUACUCCAGAAGGAAGGCAGGGCAAUGAGAUGGGGCAUAGAAGGGGCCGGAGGACCCCUCUCACCUGCAGCCAACCCUACCCAGGCACUCUUCACAGAUCACCUGUGCCCUUGCUGCCCAAUCCAGUCUGAGCUGGAUUUGUUGCUGCUUGCAGGGGAAAGCAUCCCACGAAUGCCUCUCUCCCCAGCUCCCCCGAAGCAUCCUGGUGUCCCCCGAGUAUUACAGGAUGGCCCUCCUGAGGGCCCCUUGGCUCGUCAGUUCUCCACGUUCCCAGCUAAGAAAAUGUGGGAGUUGGAUUACAGUCCUGGUUCCCAACCUUUCAUGCAUGGGGACUAUGUUUUUUUUUUUUUAAGCGAGACAACAUUCACAUAUUACAAAAUUCAUCAUUUUAACCAUUCUGAAGUACAAUUCAGUGGUUCUUUUGAUACACUAUGUCAUGCCAUUACUCCUUCCUAAUUUCAGAACACCUUCACCAUCCUCACAAGAAAGCCCAUACCCAUUAGGCAGUCACUUCUUCUUGCCCCCUCCGCUCCCCAGCCCCUGGCCACCAG